rnacentral:rRNA from 1 species
GAUGAACGCUGGCGGCGUGCCUAAUACAUGCAAGUCGAGCGAACGGACGAGAAUCUUGCUUCUCUGAUGUUAGCGGCGGACGGGUGAGUAACACGUGGAUCACCCACCUAUAAGACUGGGAUAACUUCGGGUAACCGGAGCUAAUACCGUAUAAUCUUUUGAACCGCAUGGUUCAAAAGUGAAAGACGGUCUUGCUGUCACUUAUCGCUGGAUCCGGGCUGCUUUAGCUAGUUGUUAGGGUAACGGCUUAUCACGGCAACGAUGCGUAGCCGAACUGAGAGGGUGAUAGGCGACACUGGAGCUGAGACACGGUCCAGACUCCUACGGGAGGCAGCAGAAGGGAAUGGUACGCAAUGGGCGAGAGCAUGACGGAGCAGCGGCGCGUGAGUGAUGAAAGUCUUGGGAUCAUAAAAAUGGGUUAUUAGGGAAGAACAUAUGUGUAAGUAACUGUGCAGAGCGUGACGGUAACGAGUCAGAAAGCAACGGCUAACUACGUG